CAAAGUUCAAUGAAAAGCGUUGUGUGGCCUAGUGCUUCAGUUAAAAAAAGUAAGUAUGGUGUCCUUUCAAACAGAAAUGAGGUUAUCAUUAUUAGAUGCUUAACUGCUCAAGAAUGUUUAUUUAAUUAUCCACUUAAAGGGGUAGAGACAUGUCAAGAGUUGAGUAAUUUCAGAUGUGUUUGUUUGUCCACCAGGGGGCGCAAUGAAAACUGGUUCCGGCUGUAGGUCCAGCUCUUGUUUUUGAAGAGCUCUGUCACUCUGUACUGCAUUCCUAUAAAGCCACACACUCCUCAGUCAGCUGACAGUCUAGGCAGAUACCUUCACUUAUAAGGUGGGGUUUACUGUAACGUUCACCUUCUGAAAAUACCCGUUUUCAAACUGCUGUGACAUGCCUCACCCAUUUCUACAUACUAUUGUAGAUUGUUGAUGCCUGAGAUGGAGAAACAAACUGACCUACAUUUUGGAUGGCCUGAGGGGAAAGAGCUGUCUGAACAAAUAGUUUAAUAUUGAACAAUGCUGCAGAUUUGUUUAUGGGCUCCCAUCAUGCCUUGCAUCAUGAAUCAAUAAUGCCCGUGACUCUUAUAGGAUCAUUGUUUUGAUGGUUUCUGACUUC